rnacentral:rRNA from 1 species
CCUANGGGUGGCAGCAGUGGGGAAUUUUGGACAAUGGGCGAAAGCCUGAUCCAGCAAUGCCGCGUGCAGGAUGAAGGCCUUCGGGUUGUAAACUGCUUUUGUACGGAACGAAACGGUCUGCCCUAAUACGGUGGGCUAAUGACGGUACCAAAGGAAUAAGCAUCGGCUAACUCCGUGCCAGCAGCCGCGGUAAUACGGAGGAUGCAAGCGUUAUCCGGAUUCAUUAGGUUUAAAGGGUGCGUAGGCGGAAUAAUAAGUCAGUGGUGAAAUCUUGCCGCUUAACGGUGAAAUUGCCAUUGAAACUGUUAUUCUUGAGUAUAGUUGAGGUGGGCGGAAUGUGUAGUGUAGCGGUGAAAUGCUUAGAUAUUACACAGAACACCAAUUGCGAAGGCAGCUCACUAAACUAUCACUGACGCUGAGGCACGAAAGCGUGGGUAGCGAACAGGAUUAGAUACCCUANUANUC